UAAUAACUGAGCUAUGUUAUUGCAUCAUGCGUAACACGUCUCUAUGUAAGAUGUCAAAUUCAAAUUAUUGACUUGAAUUCGGACUGGCAGGUGAAAAUUUCAUCAGCGGAAUUCAACGACAAUACUGCAUCAUAUAAUCUUAUGCAUGUUAUAUAUAGAAGGAAUUAAGCUAAAAAUAUGACAUCUGAUGAACCAACGAUUUUUCAAAUGAUAUUACAAAACAGUCCAGACUUAACGAGUAUGACUUAUCUAGGAUUACAUGAUCAUUACAUGAAGUUCAUCGACCCGGGUAAGAACCAGGCUCAGGGCAA